rnacentral:rRNA from 1 species
AUGGCGUUCUGGUGGCCCCUGCUGGUGCUCGCCGCCGCCUACGCGCUCUGCCGCGUCCUGCUCUUCCUCAUCCCGCCCACCGUCCCCUCCAUGGAGGUCGACGCCUCCGAUGUGAUGGAGGAAGUGAACCAGAACAAGGAGGAUAGCUUCAUCUACGUACCAAGGAAGGGGAAAGCUGCUCAGACUGAUAUGGUUCGAUGCUACGAACCAGCUACUAUGAAAUACUUGGGAUACUUCCCUGCUUUGACUCCUGAUGAGGUCCAGGAGCACGUUGCACAAGCUCGUAAAGCACAAGAGGUAUGGGCAAAAAGUAGCUUCAAACAAAGGCGGCAGUUUCUCCGUAUCCUUCUGAAGUAUAUACUUGAACAUCAGGAUCUGAUAUGCGAGAUAUCAUCUCGGGACACUGGAAAAACUAUGGUUGACGCUUCAUUAGGUGAGAUAAUGACCACCUGUGAGAAGAUUCAUUGGCUUCUGGAUGAGGGUGAGAAGUGGUUAAAACCUGAGUACAGAUCUUGCGGGAGAUCAAUGCUGCACAAAAGUGCAAAAGUUGAAUUCCACCCUCUUGGGGUUAUUGGUGCAAUUGUAUCAUGGAACUAUCCUUUCCAUAAUGUCUUCAAUCCGAUGUUGGCUGCAGUAUUCUCUGGUAAUGCAGCAGUUAUAAAGGUUUCAGAGCAUGCGAGUUGGUCUGGCUGUUUUUAUUCUCGUAUCAUACAAGCAGCUCUGUUAGCUGUUGGUGCCCCAGAUAAUCUGGUUCACAUAGUAACUGGUUUUGCGGAAACGGGUCAAGCUCUUGUAUCUUCAGUGGAUAAAAUAAUAUUUGUUGGAUCACCUGGUGUUGGAAGGAUGAUUAUGCAAAAAGCAUCCGAAACAUUAAUACCUGUAACUCUUGAGCUUGGUGGCAAAGAUGCAUUUAUUGUGUGCGAAGAUGUGGAUUUACCCAAUGUUGUUCAAGUUGCUGUGAGAGCUGCACUGCAAUCUAGUGGACAAAACUGUGCUGGUGCUGAAAGAUUUUAUGUCCACAAGGAUAUCUAUCCUACCUUUGUUUCUCGGGUAGUGAAGAUAAUCAAAUCAAUAUCUGUUGGGCCCCCAUUAUCUGGCAGAUACGAUAUGGGUGCAAUCUGUAUGAUAGAGCACUCUGAGAGACUUCAGAAUCUUGUUAACGAUGCUCUUGACAAAGGUGCUGAAAUUGCUGUCAGAGGGAGCUUUGGUAAUUUGGGUGAAGAUGCGGUUGAUCAGUUCUUUCCUCCAACUGUUCUAGUGAAUGUUAAUCACACAAUGAAAAUUAUGCAGGAAGAGGCAUUUGGGCCGAUUCUACCAAUCAUGAAAUUCUCUUCUGAUGAAGAGGUCAUCCAACUUGCAAAUGACUCUAAAUACGGUCUUGGUUGUGCUGUUUUUUCUGGCAACCAGAAGCGUGCCAUCAAAAUAGCAUCUCAAGUGCAUUGUGGUGUUGCAGCAAUCAAUGACUUUGCUUCAAGUUAUAUGUGUCAGUCUUUGCCCUUUGGUGGCGUUAAAGACAGCGGGUUUGGAAGAUUCGCUGGUGUGGAAGGCUUGCGGGCCUGCUGCCUUGUAAAGGCAGUCGUAGAAGACAGGUGGUGGCCAUAUGUGAAAACAAUGAUCCCCAAGCCUAUUCAGUAUCCCGUCUCGGAGAAUGGAUUUGCAUUCCAGCAGCUGCUCGUCGAGACUCUGUACGGCAUCAGCGUGUGGGACAGGCUGCAGUCGCUCGUGAAUCUGUUAAAGAUGAUCUCGGAGCAGAAGUCUCCUAUAACCAGGAGGAAAAGCCGGUGA